GUAUCAGUGAAGUCUACAGGGAAAUGCCACGUUCCCGCGGAAGAAAACGACACCCAAGCGCCAGCCAGUGGCAGAGCUGGGGUCUGAGUAUGAUUGGGGCACUCUGGUUACUAUAUCCCCAUAACUGCCCGGGCUCACCCAGCUCAGCCAGCUAGUAAAAAGUAUGUUAGUCCUUAAGAAAAAGGAGGUCGUAGCAGCUGUACCAAUGGAUCAGUACCACAGAAGUAAUGUGCAUUCAUUGUAGAUGUGCCAAGUGGACAAAAGCACGGGGGUCCAGAAGGGUCAGCACCCCCCGCACCGUGUUCAUUGCCCUCGUCUGAAAACCUCGGAUCAGCCCCGUUCGUACUUCCUGAAAACUACCUUGGCCUUGUAAAGAGUCCCUCAUGGCUUUGCUAGAUUAUCAAGACCCGGGCUAAUACUUACUCAGGUGGCUGGAAGUAUGAAUUAGUUCCUUAAUCGUCAAGCCCGGGUCUGCUGUAGAAGCGUGUGUCCGGUGGUACAGUAAAAAUAACCGGCUCCUCUAAGGAAUAAAAAGUGACUGGAAACGCA